CCUACGGGGGGCAGCAGUGAGGAAUAUUGGUCAAUGGACGAGAGUCUGAACCAGCCAAGUAGCGUGAAGGAUGACUGCCCUAUGGGUUGUAAACUUCUUUUAUAUGGGAAUAAAACGUUCCACGUGUGGGCUUUUGUAUGUACCAUAUGAAUAAGGAUCGGCUAACUCCGUGCCAGCAGCCGCGGUAAUACGGAGGAUCCGAGCGUUAUCCGGAUUUAUUGGGUUUAAAGGGAGCGUAGGUGGGUUGUUAAGUCAGUUGUGAAAGUUUGCGGCUCAACCGUAAAAUUGCAGUUGAAACUGGCAGUCGUGAGUACAGUAGAGGUGGGCGGAAUUCGUGGUGUAGCGGUGAAAUGCAUAGAUAUCACGCAGAACUCCGAUUGCGAAGGCAGCAUACCGGCGCCCAACUGACGCUGAAGCACGAAAGCGUGGGUAUCGAACAGGAUUAGAUACCCGGGUAGUC
rnacentral:rRNA from 1 species